rnacentral:rRNA from 1 species
AGAGUUUGAUCCUGGCUCAGGACGAACGCUGGCGGCGUGCCUAAUACAUGCAAGUAGAACGCUGAAGAGAGGAGCUUGCUCUUCUUGGAUGAGUUGCGAACGGGUGAGUAACGCGUAGGUAACCUGCCUUGUAGCGGGGGAUAACUAUUGGAAACGAUAGCUAAUACCGCAUAACAAUGGAUGACACAUGUCAUUUAUUUGAAAGGGGCAAUUGCUCCACUACAAGAUGGACCUGCGUUGUAUUAGCUAGUAGGUGAGGUAACGGCUCACCUAGGCGACGAUACAUAGCCGACCUGAGAGGGUGAUCGGCCACACUGGGACUGAGACACGGCCCAGACUCCUACGGGAGGCAGCAGUAGGGAAUCUUCGGCAAUGGGGGCAACCCUGACCGAGCAACGCCGCGUGAGUGAAGAAGGUUUUCGGAUCGUAAAGCUCUGUUGUAAGUCAAGAACGAGUGUGAGAGUGGAAAGUUCACACUGUGACGGUAGCUUACCAGAAAGGGACGGCUAACUACGUGCCAGCAGCCGCGGUAAUACGUAGGUCCCGAGCGUUGUCCGGAUUUAUUGGGCGUAAAGCGAGCGCAGGCGGUUUGAUAAGUCUGAAGUUAAAGGCUGUGGCUCAACCAUAGUUCGCUUUGGAAACUGUCAAACUUGAGUGCAGAAGGGGAGAGUGGAAUUCCAUGUGUAGCGGUGAAAUGCGUAGAUAUAUGGAGGAACACCGGUGGCGAAAGCGGCUCUCUGGUCUGUAACUGACGCUGAGGCUCGAAAGCGUGGGGAGCGAACAGGAUUAGAUACCCUGGUAGUCCACGCCGUAAACGAUGAGUGCUAGGUGUUGGAUCCUUUCCGGGAUUCAGUGCCGCAGCUAACGCAUUAAGCACUCCGCCUGGGGAGUACGACCGCAAGGUUGAAACUCAAAGGAAUUGACGGGGGCCCGCACAAGCGGUGGAGCAUGUGGUUUAAUUCGAAGCAACGCGAAGAACCUUACCAGGUCUUGACAUCCCGAUGCUAUUUCUAGAGAUAGAAAGUUACUUCGGUACAUCGGUGACAGGUGGUGCAUGGUUGUCGUCAGCUCGUGUCGUGAGAUGUUGGGUUAAGUCCCGCAACGAGCGCAACCCCUAUUGUUAGUUGCCAUCAUUCAGUUGGGCACUCUAGCGAGACUGCCGGUAAUAAACCGGAGGAAGGUGGGGAUGACGUCAAAUCAUCAUGCCCCUUAUGACCUGGGCUACACACGUGCUACAAUGGUUGGUACAACGAGUUGCGAGUCGGUGACGGCAAGCUAAUCUCUUAAAGCCAAUCUCAGUUCGGAUUGUAGGCUGCAACUCGCCUACAUGAAGUCGGAAUCGCUAGUAAUCGCGGAUCAGCACGCCGCGGUGAAUACGUUCCCGGGCCUUGU